UACGAAGGGGGCUAGCGUUGCUCGGAAUCACUGGGCGUAAAGGGUGCGUAGGCGGGUCUUUUAAGUCAGGGGUGAAAUCCUGGAGCUCAACUCCAGAACUGCCUUUGAUACUGAAGAUCUUGAGUUCGGGAGAGGUGAGUGGAACUGCGAGUGUAGAGGUGAAAUUCGUAGAUAUUCGCAAGAACACCCGUGGCGAAGGCGGCACUCUGGGCCUGUACUGACGCUGAGACGCGAAAGCGCGGGGAGCGAACGGG
rnacentral:rRNA from 1 species